rnacentral:rRNA from 1 species
GACGAACGCUGGCGGCGUGCUUAACACAUGCAAGUCGAACGGAAAGGCCCUGCUUUUGUGGGGUGCUCGAGUGGCGAACGGGUGAGUAACACGUGAGUAACCUGCCCUUGACUUUGGGAUAACUUCAGGAAACUGGGGCUAAUACCGUAUAGGAGCUCCUGCUGCAUGGUGGGGGUUGGAAAGUUUCGGCGGUUGGGGAUGGACUCGCGGCUUAUCAGCUUGUUGGUGGGGUAGUGGCUUACCAAGGCUUUGACGGGUAGCCGGCCUGAGAGGGUGACCGGCCACAAUGGGACUGAGAGACGGACCAGACUCCUACGGGAGGCAGCAGUGGGGAAUAUUGCACAAUGGGCGGAAGCCUGAUGCAGCAACGCCGCGUGCGGGAUGACGGCCUUCGGGUUGUGAACCGCUUUCGCCUGUGACGAAGCGUGAGUGACGGUAAUGGGUAAAGAAGCACCGGCUAACUACGUG